ACUUGUACAUACGCUUCGCGAAAUAAAUUUACGUACAUUUCGCGCCAUGCUGCGCUACUACGUUUACAGAUUUGACUUACGAAAAUUUCAGACAAUUAGUCGAAAUAAAACAAAACAUCUAUAGUAUUGUUAUGAGUAUUAUUAUAAGAUAUCUGGAAUAUUUAAAAUUGUUCGCAAACAGAUAAAUUAAGAUUGUUAUUGUUAUCCAAAAUGCGAUCCAAGCCAAACGAGCGACCAAACUCGAGCAACCAAAUAGGAUGAAAUUCUGAGCGCGAGAGAGAGGUGGAGCAAAUCUCACGUCUGUGUAUUAUCAUCCUUUUGAUGUCCUUCUCAAAGCCGGACCUUGUCGAGCUUACAUUCCUGGCUGCUGUAAGCACAGGGAGGUAGAAGCUGUAAAUUUCGACAACUGAACAAACAUAUUACUUGAGGAGAUUGUUAUCAUUUACCAAGGUUUUCCAUUUUCCAAAAUUACUGGAAACUCGAGUGCCAUCCCUGUAUCGCUGGAAUCUACUGGAGUGUACUGGACAAUACAGGGAGACAACGGGGCUUUAUUAAGCUUAUUAACGGAACAUACAAGGGUGGACGUAUCUACGUCGGUGGUUGGGGAAAGUAUAGCCGCUGAGAGAUGUGAGGAUGGAAGAAAUUAGAUCAAAGGUGUCAAGAAAAUCCAAGGAUUUAGCUCGCAUACCCUUCAAAGGUGAUCAAGAACAUCGUUUAAUUUAUGCAACAAUGGUCGCAACUGCUGAAGAAUAACAUUCAUCUGGGCCAGUGGCCCAGCAAGAAGCAUCGAGAUCCGCGAAAAAGGAAAAGGGGUCGAGAGAAGGAGAUGGAAAGCGGUGGAGAUGCAAAGGAACGUAAUCGCAGAGGUGGGGCGAGCGAUGCAUGAUGCGGGAGAGCUUGACCCCUCCACCUGCUUCCCCAACGAGAAGCUCCGCCUCCAGGAACUCGGGUGACGUCACACGGACACUUGUUACGCCUUGCCGUUGCUUGAUGGGAUGCUGUACCGCUGAGAUUUUGCAGAAACCAAAAGAAACCGAUCGACAUACCGAGGAUUGUGCAAUAAGAAAAUCACCAGUCACCGAGUAGGAAAACGUGAAAGGCUGUGCUGACACACUGGAAAUCCCACGAAUUUAUUCCGAUGCGCGAUUGCGAUGCAUAUCACGUCUGUUGGCUCAUGAUCUGGCGAACAUCAGUGCAACGUCUCCUUCGUGAAGUAACGGUCAUCGUUUUAUCAGCAGAACGGCGGAAAUGCAGAGGAAACAAUAUUUUCUCGUCGACGAGGCACACGAACGUUGGAGACUCGUCGGAGCCGCAGAGAUCGCGGUUCGAAAAGUGGCGCAACGACACGGACGUGGGGCGGGCGGCUCGCGGCGUGGUGGGAGCGCUGGAGCGUAGCCCGCUCCAGCCGCCGAGGGGCGUCAGUUCGGAGGCAGAAGCGGUGGCGGGGGGUCCAGGAUCACGGGGCUUAGGCCGUCCCGGGCCGCUAACGCGCGGAACACGCGGCCCGCUGAGCCGCUCCGCGCGGCAUUACGUCGCGCACCGUCGACCGCGACUGACGUAUGCGCGAGAGGAUCGUCGACCGGAUCGCCUCAUCGACAAUCGCGAUCAUGACGCAGCUCGUCGCCAGAAGGAAAUGUCAGAAGGCGUUAUGUAGGAAAAGUGCGUCGUUUAUCCACGUGUAACGUAUCGUGACGUUAUACCGGAUUCGAGUAAUCAACGCCUGUGGAUCAUUCGGCGGCGACAACCUGUCGGAGCAGAGAUCGCGGGACAGAUAAUUUAGGUGGUGCUGCCGCGGCGAACAGUGUUCCCAGAGAGAGAGAGAGAGAGAGAGAAAGAGAGAGAUCUGAAUACGGUGACAAAUAUAUCUUGGUGACGGUUUAGAAACAUUGCCGGGUGUUGAGUGAACUGCCGAUGGACAGUGACAGCGUACUCUGAAUUACCGGACUCGCGCAAGAAGUGCAACGGUACAUCGUAAGAUCUAGAUCUGAAAACAGCCGGCCUCCGUCAAUCACGGAGCAAGAGCGGAACGCGAUACCACGGUGUUGGGAUUCCUGCCUGUGCUAUGACGAUCUCGCGACUGAAAAACAUGAAAAUUUAUGCGAUUGUCGAGGACGAGGGAAGCUGGUAAGUGUGUGAGGCACGACGAAGUCGCCUCCGUCCGCGAAGUAAGUGAAAAUCACGACGUCCCGGCCGAGGGGUGCGUGCUUGGGCGACGAGGGACGGCUACUGGCCGAUGGGAUGCAUCUACCGGUGGGUACCGUGGGCUGCGGGGAGAAUUACGGCACCGUUGGAUCCCACGAAGGCGCCGGCCCGUGCGGUCCCUCCCUGGCGCCGCUGCAAGGUGUGAACAGCAGGUACCACCAGGUAGACGACGCCGACGUCGGAGGUGGAGGCGGCGAGAUGAGCGAGAGUGCCGCCGUCGGCGAACUAUGGUGGACCGAAAGGCUCGUCGGUGAGGCGCAGGCCGAACAUCCUGGAGAACUUGUCAGAACAGGAUCGCCUUACUUCUUAUGCAGUCAAUUACCGACGCACUGGCGGUCCAACAAAACACUUCCAGUGGCGUUCAAAGUAGUUGCUCUCGGCGAGGUCGGCGAUGGGACUCUGGUAACGGUCCGUGCCGGUAACGAUGAAAAUUGUUGCGCGGAGCUGCGAAAUUCCACCGCGUUGAUGAAGAAUCAAGUCGCCAAGUUCAACGACCUAAGGUUCGUCGGCAGAAGCGGCAGGGGAAAGAGCUUUAGCAUCACCAUUACCGUAUCGACGACACCACCCCAAGUGGCAACCUACACGAGAGCGAUUAAGGUGACCGUCGACGGACCACGGGAGCCGCGAUCGAAAACGAGACAACAACAUCAGCAAUUUCGCGCGCUCGGUCUGGGACAGAGGCCUUUUCUCGACGCGCCGACCCCGUUCAGGACUCACUUGCGGGAACUCGAGUCCUUCGGAAGGAAUAAGCAUCACCAUCAUCACAGCGGCAGUCACUUACACGACCAGCAGACCGGCAACAACGUCACCACGAAUUCGGUUAGCGGUGCCUGCACCAACCCCAACAACACCGACCCGACCGCAUCGCCGGCUUCCAGUACACACCUCGGGGCUACCGGCGGCUCCUCUGCUCAUCAGGAUUGCUACAAGCGCAGUCCUCAACACGGCGACACGGGCGUAGGUACCACGGAAUGGACGUAUCCCACGGCGCCGUCUUAUCCGGCUCCUCCGGUCAGCAGCAGCGGUUCCUAUUCCCCGUUGCCCGGCGGUGCGUUUUCGUACCCGGGAGAAUCAUUGUCGCAUCAUCCGACGACAGAACCGGUGCCAUUGCCAACCGUGCUCUCCUCGGAGAAUCAGCAGGACACUUACACGCCGAAUUGCGUGUCCAUGUACUCGGGACACGGCACCUCGCCGACGACAUCCUUGCCCUUGGUGCCGACCAGAGCGAGCGAUCCCGACAUCUUCGCCAGCGGCGGCACGGGCAACGCGGGCAGUCCGAGUUACCAUUACAGUUCGUGGACGCCUGGCCCGGCGACCCCGGUCCCGGUGGCUUCCCACAAUUACAACCCCAAUUAUCAGGGUUACUACAACAAUCCGGGCCAGAAUUACAUCACCCCGGCGCCGAUGGUGCUCUAUCCGCAGCUCUACAGCACCGUCAAUCAGAAUCAGAUCCACCUGCAUCUGCACGGCGACCUAAGCGAGGAGCAGGUCACCAUAGCCGGCGGCAAUCUGACUAUCAGUAGCAUCCGAGAGAUCGGCGUGCUGGAGGAGAGCGAGCAGAGGAACGACGUGUGGAGACCGUACUAAAAGAGCAAAAGGUCUUUGAUGGUAUAAUUUAAAAUUAUCGUGCGUGAGUUACAAUGCGCGCGCCUCCAACAACGUAGUCUCUGAUUAUCAUGCAUCUGACGAAACGUCGACAAAGAUAGCGGGAUAUGCGCUAAGUAUCUUUUCAGAAGAAGGAUAUGUGUGAAAUCAUUGGACCUGAUUACUGCUGUAUGAGCGGCGGAAUCUCUUCCGAUCAGCCGCGCGCAAAUUAUCGUAACUGCAAUAAACCGGCUGACACACGAUGUCCGGUUUCGUAAUAGUGAUCGCGGGCGAAAGUGGAAAUUACUGACUCGUUCACGUUGAAUGUGAGACGAAGUGAAGACGAACUUCGAUAAAAAAACUCGUCAGCUUGUGGAAAAAAAAAUCAGCGAGCAGUGAGAUCUCAUAAAUCGAAACGUGAGACUAAUCGGUGAUGAUUCUUCUUAAGUGCUAGGCGGAGAGAUAUCUUUCUUGCUUGUUUCUCCCGGUCAAAAAUUGGAUCGUGAGAAUAUCAUUUGGUUCUCGAAUGAAGAAAUAAGUCAAACGCUGUAACGUUGUAAAUACACAAAUAUUUUCAGAAAUGAAAUAAAACCUUGCCCGACAGGUUCCUAAAUCCCUUCUCUCGAUACUUAUGGAAAAAAGGUCAACUUCGUUGGCUCGCGCGCAGUGCACGAAUCUUGAGUUAGAAAUCUGUUAGGGACAAUGGAUUUCUACAAAGACGUACUGUCGCAUCGUAUUCGAUAGGAAAUAAUAGAAGAUAAUGGAAGAUUGUCUAAAUAUACAUUAGAGUAAAAUUACUACGUGGGUGAAAACUUAAUAAGCGUCUCGGCGAUUUUGCCGUUUGACAAUAUAUGUACAACGACGAAGUAAUUUUCAUAAGUCAUAACUAGAAUCAAGAGGUAUAAUAAGAAAUAACUGCUAAAGAAACACGAAGUACCCAACAAGUGGCCUAAAAUAAAAAGAACAUUAUUAGUAAUAUUACAUUCACAAAGAACUCAUCACAAACAUUCCACGACUCCUUCGUUCACGAAAAAAAUCAGAAUCACAAAAAUGAUGCGUAAAUCAAUGGUUAGUAUUCUGUGAAUUUUUCUUUUUCUCUUCGAAGUAGAUGAAACGGGACAGAAUACGCAGAGUUACGAUUAGAGAAUUGCCGGAUAACGGAAAGCUGGACGAAAAAUUUCUUCUACUUGAACGACUUUGCACUUCGGAGAGAGAUCAUCUCGCUCUUCUCCUACUUCUCUUGCCGCGAUGUUUACAGCCCCGACGCGUCCUGCGAAUGGGACGCCACGGAAUAAAACCACGGAAUAAGCAGAGGCGGCCGUCGCUCGUAAGCUUCUCUCUUUACGAGGAUGACUCGACUCGCAGCCGACCGCAGACAAGAGUCUCCCGCCCUUUUCUGCGCCCGUUAAGACGAAAUACGUUUCGUCCCGCAGGAAAUGGUCGACAUCUUCUGGUACCAGCCGAGCACGGCCGAUGGGUAUAAAUCGCGCGACCCCGAUCGAAGCAGUCCUUAAAUCCAAAAUAAAAUAUUGCUUGCAAACCUUACGCAUCCGACUUUGAAUAAA